UAAUACGGAGGGUGCAAGCGUUAAUCGGAAUUACUGGGCGUAAAGCGUGCGUAGGUGGUUUGUUAAGUCAGAUGUGAAAGCCCCGGGCUCAACCUGGGAACUGCAUUUGAAACUGGCAAACUAGAGUAUAGGAGAGGAAAGUGGAAUUUCUGGUGUAGCGGUGAAAUGCGUAGAUAUCAGAAGGAACAUCAAUGGCGAAGGCAGCUUUCUGGACUAAUACUGACACUGAGGUACGAAAGCGUGGGUAGCAAACAGGAUUAGAUACCCUGGUAGUCCACGCCGUAAACGAUGACAACUAGCCGUUGGGGGGAUUUACCCUUUAGUGGCGAAGCUAACGCGUUAAGUUGUCCGCCUGGGGAGUACGGCCGCAAGGUUA
rnacentral:rRNA from 1 species